CCCACAGGAAGACAAUAUGGGUCUCUUUGAUUCUGCGCUAUACCAGGAACCUUCAUGCUAAUUUGCCUCUAUGGAAUUAUAUGCAACAGCAGUAAGAAUCUACAUGAAGCUGACAGGGCAUAAGUCAUUUGUGAGAGACCAUAUUCACUUGAAAAAGUGGAAGGUUAGUAAAUGGGCCAAAUCGGAACCCACCAUCUCUUUUUCUCACUAUGGCAUGUCCUCCAUAGAAUGUAUCUGAAGCAAAGAAUAUGUUGUUCAAGCGGAAAAAUGGACUCCUAAAAUGGUGGUAAAUGUGAUCAAACUUGUUACCUUCCAUGAGUCCAGAAAGAGAUCUCAUCUCUUCAUCCAUAUAACUUGCCAAAAAUCGGAUAUUUAGGAUUCACCACCAUUUUUACGACUUCAAAAAACUACAGAAAUGGAUUCCACUUACCAGAAAUGCAGGAUAUUGUCUAAAAAACCGAAAUUGAGAAGUUCGUAUCUCAGCAAAGUUUUCUGCUCAUCGAGGAAGUUCAGCCACGGCCCGACUCUCUUACUUGCCGUGUGCGUUUUCGCCAAUUCCUCCGCCUUCUCGCCGACAGCCGGAUAUAAAGGCCAACAGAAGCCCCCAACUCCCUGACUUUCCUCGCUCUCCUCUCUCUCUUCCCGCGAAGUCUAAUGGGUGAUUGAUUAUAGGCAUUACGAAGCUAGCCUCCGUUGCAGAGCAAGGAAGAGAGUGGGAGUCCGUGGCCUGCCUGUGUCGUUUCUCGUCCUUCUCUUCCGCUUUUCCGUGAGGUACUUUUCCUGGACUUCCGCUUCUCCGUAAGGUAGACGGCCGGCCGGUUGCCAAUGCACCUCUGCUGCGAGCUUUGCUUGCGAUUACUUUCAUGGAUGCCUUUUUAUUUUUAAAUUCCGUUUCUGGUUACUGAGCAAUUUUGGUCCGGCCGUAGCUGAGCUUCCUAUAUAUUCGAUUUUUUGCAAGUUACAUGGAUGAACAGAUGAGAUCUCUUUCAUGAAAGGUAACAAGUUUGAUGCCUCCGUUGCAGAGUGAGGAAGAGAGUGGGAGUCCGUGGCCUGGCUGUGUGGUUUCUCGUCCUUCUCUUCCGCUUUUUCGUGAGGUAUCGGAUGCAGUCACUUGAUUCUGAAAGGCAUGCAUGCUUUACAAGGAAAAGCAGGAGUUGAAAGAUGGUCGGAAGGCAACUCCUCUUCUUAACUGUAAAUGGCGGAUGCACAACAAUGUUCGAGUUGAUGGGUGCUAUGCUUUUCACUCAGGUCGCUAAACAGUCAUAGAUCUCUGAGGAGAAGGAAAAGGGAAAGAAACUUCGGCCUCUUCUGGGCCAGGAUGAAAGCUGAACAAAUGAAGGCUGAGAAGCUUGCUAUGGAAAGAGCAGCGGUUGAAGCUCAAAAAAGAGCAGAAAAAGAGGCUGCACAAAGGGCGGCUGAAGAAGCCUUGAAAAAAAAAGCUGCAGAAGAA